GGAGAGGUAGUCAAGCGGCUUAAGACGCAACUCUGGAAAAGUUGUGAGGGUUAACAGCCCUCCGUGGGUUCGAAUCCCACUCUCUCCGCCA
rnacentral:tRNA from 1 species